AUCCCCUACGGUAUCUGUAGUGAUAACAUCUAGAAGUAACAACACUUACAUGUAGUAGUCAAAACAUGUAGUACUUAUUACAUGUAGUAUUGUUGACAUGAACUACUAAUGUAGUAUUCAUAACAUGUAGUACUAAUUACAUGUAGUAUUAAUAACAUCGAGUACUUAAAACAUGUAGUACUAAUUACAUAUAGUACUUAAUAACAUGUAGUACUAAUUACAUGUUGUACCAUUAGAUACAUGUAGUACUACAUUACAUGUACUACAUUACAUGUAGUACUCUUAAUAACAUGUAGUAAGAAUUAUUUAGUACUAAUGUAGUACUAGUUCAAUGUCUGCUCAUCAUUCUUCACACAAUCACAAAGACUUGAAAGGAAGCAGAUCUGUAUAAUAGUGAGGGUUGCCGAAAUGGUCGCUGUGUGAGAUGAACUCAUGCCACAGACCGGAUUGAUAUAGACCUAGUUAGCCUGCAGGUGUACUGCUAACUACCUAGUACUACUUCUUAUGACUACAUGAACUGAUCUGCCAAAACUUGAUAUGUACUAUGAACUGGAAGGGAGUUCUUUACAAAUAAACCAGCAUACUGUAAACGGUACAGUACUGUAAACGUGACUCUACUGUCUGCUGUACACAGGGUACAGUACUGUAAACGUGAUUACUGUACACAGGGUACAGUACUGUAAACGUGACACUCUACUGUAUGCUGUAGACGGGGUACAGAGUAGAUCCACAUGUAGAAUAGAGGUCUGCCAACGGCUUGAAUGUAUUUCAUCACCUUUGUUUUUAGUGGAAAUGGAGGGAAAAUGUGUAAACAAAUGCUGUAAAGUCCUGUUUAUCAGAUCUCUUUAAUGGCUAUGCAACACUAGCGCCUUGUCUGGUUUGGUGAGUGGGCGGGGAAAGAAACGGUUGUCCUUUCCCUGAUUGGUCGCGGACUGGCCUGAUCUACAUCAGAGGAAGACUGAAAUAAAGUGAAAAAUCAAGUAACUUUCGUCUGAAUGAGUACAACUAUAGAGCCACUUGUACUUCACAAUAAUCAUUUAUAUAUAGUAUAGGUGUAUGUAUAUAUCUAGAUCCUAUAUACUCUAUAGAUGUAUAUUGCAUAAAUUGAUUAUGGUAUAUAGGAUCUAUUAUAUAUUAUACAUAUAUAGGAUUAAUUAUGCCAUAAUAGGUACGAGUAUAAAUAUAUAAAUAAAGCUAACUUGUUAGCAUCAGCUCAUUAAUCUGCACGCUGUACCAAACCAGGCCUCAAGUUGUCUAAACAAACAAAGUUAGCCUUGCACUGUCUCCCUUCCAAACUGUGUUUAUGUGUUUUCCUGACUGCAGAUCAUCAGUUAGCCAAGUUGAUAUUUAACAUCUCACUCCAUGCGAGAAGAUUACUGGCUAGGCUAGGCUAGCAGCAAGCUAAUGGUUGGUUUGAAUGAACCAGUGUUAGCAGGAAGCUAAAGGGCUAACUGGUGGUUUGAUUUAAUUGAUUUAAUGGAGUGUUGGUCCCCAUGUAAUGACGAGAUGUAAUGUCAGGGUUUCAUGCUAACCAUGCUAGCCAUGCUAGCCCACUGUGAUCCCGGGCCAGUCCACUGACUAAACUACGGCAAUAAAACUCACUUGAUGACUACACAUGCAUCCGUCUCUCCUUAUCAAACCAUACAUCAAUACUCUCUCCUUAUCAG
ensembl:lncRNA